rnacentral:rRNA from 1 species
GACGAACGCUGGCGGCGUGCCUAAUACAUGCAAGUCGAACGAGUGGCGGACGGGUGAGUAAUGUAUGGGGAUCUGCCCGAUAGAGGGGGAUAACUACUGGAAACGGUGGCUAAUACCGCAUACUAUCGGAUGAACCCAUAUGGGAUUAGCUAGUAGGUGGGGUAAAGGCUCACCUAGGCGACGAUCUCUAGCUGGUCUGAGAGGAUGAUCAGCCACACUGGGACUGAGACACGGCCCAGACUCCUACGGGAGGCAGCAGUGGGGAAUAUUGCACAAUGGGCGCAAGCCUGAUGCAGCCAUGCCGCGUGUAUGAAGAAGGCCUUAGGGUUGUAAAGUACUUUCAGCGGGGAGGCGUUACCCGCAGAAGAAGCACCGGCUAACUCCGUGCCAGCCGCCGCGGUAAUAC